rnacentral:rRNA from 1 species
CCUACGGGAGGCAGCAGUGGGGAAUAUUGCGCAAUGGGCGAAAGCCUGACGCAGCGACGCCGCGUGAGGGAUGAAGGCCUUCGGGUUGUAAACCUCUUUCAGCAGGGACGAAAACAGACGGUACCUGCAGAAGAAGCACCGGCCAACUACGUGCCAGCAGCCGCGGUAAUACGUAGGGUGCAAGCGUUGUCCGGAAUUAUUGGGCGUAAAGAGCUCGUAGGCGGUUUGUCGCGUCGGCUGUGAAAACUCGGGGCUCAACCCCGAGCCUGCAGUCGAUACGGGCAGACCAGAGUGCUGUAGGGGAGACUGGAAUUCCUGGUGUAGCGGUGAAAUGCGCAGAUAUCAGGAGGAACACCGGUGGCGAAGGCGGGUCUCUGGGCAGUAACUGACGCUGAGGAGCGAAAGCGUGGGGAGCAAACAGGAUUAGGAUACCCUGGUAGUCCACGCCGUAAACGGUGGGUGCUAGGUGUAGGUCGUAUUCCACGCGAUCUGUGCCGCAGCUAACGCAUUAAGCACCCGCCUGGGGAGUACGGCCGCAAGGCUAAAACUUAAAGGAAUUGACGGCUGGAGACGNGCGACGACGACGACGAGGGAGAGG